UCUUACGCUCAUAUCCUGCUGAAUGCACCGGAUCCCGUCCGAUCUCCGAAGUGAAUCAGCUGCGAGCUAUCUUAGUACUUGGAUGGGAGACCUCCUGGGAACCGUUAGUGGCGUAAGUCCUU
rnacentral:rRNA from 1 species